CUACGGGACGCUGCAGUGGGGAAUAUUGGACAAUGGGGGAAACCCUGAUCCAGCAAUGCCGCGUGUGUGAAGAAGGCCUGCGGGUUGUAAAGCACUUUCGGUUGGGAGGACUGCUUCUAGCACUAAUAUUGUUGGAAGUUGACGUUACCUUCAGAAGAGGCACCGGCUAACUCCGUGCCAGCAGCCGCGGGUAAUACGGAGGGUGCAAGCGUUAAUCGGAAUUACUGGGCGUAAAGCGCGCGUAGGCGGCUAGAUCAGUCGGGUGUGAAAGCCCCGGGCUUAACCUGGGAACUGCAUCCGAUACUGUCUAGCUUGAGUACAGGAGAGGAGAGUGGAAUUCCACAUGUAGCGGUGAAAUGCGUAGAUAUGUGGAGGAACACCAAUGGCGAAGGCAGCUCUCUGGCCUGAUACUGACGCUGAGGUGCGAAAGCGUGGGGAGCAAACAGGAUUAGAUACCCCAGUAGUC
rnacentral:rRNA from 1 species